AGUUACAGCCAGGGUGAUUAUGACCAGAGUUACAGCCAGGGUUGAUUAUGACCAGGGUUACAACCAGGGGUGAUUAUGACCAGGGUUACAGCCAGGGUUGAUUAUGACCAGGGUUACAACCAGAGUUACAACCAGGGUGAUUAUGACCAGGGUUACAACCAGAGUUACAGCCAGGGUGAUUAUGACCAGAGUUACAGCCAGGGUUGAUUAUGACCAGGGUUACAGCCAGGGUUGAUUAUGACCAGGGUUACAACCAGAGUUACAACCAGGGUGAUUAUGACCAGGGUUACAAACAGGGGUGAUUAUGACCAGGGUUACAACCAGAGUUACAGCCAGGGUGAUUAUGACCAGGGUUACAGCCAGGGUUGAUUAUGACCAGGGUUACAACCAGAGUUACAACCAGGGUGAUUAUGACCAGAGUUACAACCAGAGUUACAGCCAGGGUGAUUAUGACCAGAGUUACAGCCAGGGUUGAUUAUGACCAGGGUUACAACCAGAGUUACAGCCAGGGUGAUUAUGACCAGAGUUACAGCCAGGGUUGAUUAUGACCAGGGUUACAACCAGGGGUGAUUAUGACUAGGGUUACAGCCAGGGUUGAUUAUGACCAGGGUUACAACCAGAGUUACAACCAGGGUGAUUAUGACCAGGGUUACAACCAGAGUUACAGCCAGGGUGAUUAUGACCAGAGUUACAGCCAGGGUUGAUUAUGACCAGGGUUACAGCCAGGGGUGAUUAUGACCAGAGUUACAGCCAGGGUUGAUUAUGACCAGGGUUACAACCAGAGUUACAACCAGGGUGAUUAUGACCAGGGUUACAACCAGGGUGAUUAUGACCAGGGUUACAACCAGGGUGAUUAUGACCAGGGUUACAACCAGGGUGAUUAUGACCAGGGUUACAACCAGGGUGAUUAUGACCAGGGUUACAACCAGGGUGAUUAUGACCAGGGUUACAACCAGGGUGAUUAUGACCAGAGUUACAACCAGGGGUGAUUAUGACCAGAGUUACAACCAGGGGUGAUUAUGACCAGGGUUACAACCAGGGUGAUUAUGACCAGGGUUACAACCAGGGUGAUUAUGACCAGGGUUACAACCAGGGUGAUUAUGACCAGGGUUACAACCAGGGUGAUUAUGACCAGGGUUACAACCAGAGUUACAGCCAGGGUUGAUUAUGACCAGGGUUACAACCAGGGUGAUUAUGACCAGGGUUACAACCAGGGUGAUUAUGACCAGGGUUACAACCAGGGGUGAUUAUGACCAGGGUUACAACCAGGGUGAUUAUGACCAGGGUUACAACCAGAGUUACAGCCAGGGUUGAUUAUGACCAAGGAUACAACCAGGGGUGAUUAUGACCAGGGUUACAACCAGAGUUACAGCCAGGGUUGAUUAUGACCAGGGUUACAACCAGGGGUGAUUAUGACCAGGGUUACAACCAGAGUUACAGCCAGGGUUGAUUAUGACCAGGGUUACAACCAGGGGUAUUUAUGACCAGGGUUACAACCAGGGUGA